GAAAGGAAUGGUCAAGUAGUCGUGAACUAAAAGAGGAGUGAAGAGAUGGAAGGCGACUAUACUACCACCAUUAUGUUUAGUCAGGCUAAACUCGUCCUUGGGUCUACUACACACUAGGACAUCCGCCCAAAACAACCCAAAGUUUUUUUCUUCUUUUAGACGGCCUACAACAACAACAACAACACGGACGGGAGAUAUUUCUACCUGGCAGCGGACCAAAAAAAAUUUUAAAAACAAAAAAAUAAUUCACCUGUCAAUGAAACUGAAGCAAGAGGGGAAGAAAACCAAACACAAAAAAUAAAAGCCCGGAGCCUGUUGAGCGAGGAUCGAUCACUGCAAAUCAUCCGCAUGGGCGAAUCAGUCGAUGGGAAAAAUCAGAUACCAAAAUCACGUCCGACCAGCAUCUUUGUAAUAGAACAAGAAGAAAAUGGUUCGUCUUAUUUUACAGCUAGAAUAAGGACCUCUUUUGAUAACGGGACCGAGAUGGCAGCCAGCACUAUGGGGAUUGUCCAGCGGCCGGGCCCUUGAGAACAACAACGAAAAAACAACAACAACAACGGCUCACAGUAUAUAUGUACACGUGCCACAUUUGACACGCCAAGCAUACCGAGACUAUGUCAUCGUAAAUAUUAAACAAAUAAUUUUUUGUUUUUUUGUUUUUCCGUCAAAUUUGCCGCUCUGCUGGUCUCUUGUCUAUUUACAUGGAGAUAAGGUGCAUAUAUACACAUAACAUUACAGAGGGGAGAAAAAAAAAAGAAGAAGGGGGCUAUACACAUUCACAUUUCUUGCGGCCGGUCGAACCUACAGGAGAUGAGCUCAGUCCCUAACUUUUUUGUUUCUAAUAAAAUUCGGGGAAUUU